UGCGGAGGGUGCAAGCGUUAUCCGGAUUUACUGGGCGUAAAGCGCGUGUAGGCGGUUGCCCAAGUCGGGUGUGAAAGCCUUGAGCUCAACUCAAGAAAUGCACUCGGUACUGGGUGACUAGAGGACCGGAGAGGAUAGUGGAAUUCCCAGUGUAGUGGUGAAAUACGUAGAGAUUGGGAAGAACACCAGUGGCGAAGGCGGCUAUCUGGACGGUUUCUGACGCUAAGACGCGAAAGCGUGGGGAGCAAACAGG
rnacentral:rRNA from 1 species